rnacentral:rRNA from 1 species
GGGUUGUGAGGUUAAGCGACUAAGCGUACACGGUGGAUGCCCUGGCAGUCAGAGGCGAUGAAGGACGUGCUAAUCUGCGAUAAGCGUCGGUAAGGUGAUAUGAACCGUUAUAACCGGCGAUUUCCGAAUGGGGAAACCCAGUGUGUUUCGACACACUAUCAUUAACUGAAUCCAUAGGUUAAUGAGGCGAACCGGGGGAACUGAAACAUCUAAGUACCCCGAGGAAAAGAAAUCAACCGAGAUUCCCCCAGUAGCGGCGAGCGAACGGGGAGCAGCCCAGAGCCUGAAUCAGUGUGUGUGUUAGUGGAAGCGUCUGGAAAGGCGCGCGAUACAGGGUGACAGCCCCGUACACAAAAAUGCACAUGCUGUGAGCUCGAUGAGUAGGGCGGGACACGUGGUAUCCUGUCUGAAUAUGGGGGGACCAUCCUCCAAGGCUAAAUACUCCUGACUGACCGAUAGUGAACCAGUACCGUGAGGGAAAGGCGAAAAGAACCCCGGCGAGGGGAGUGAAAAAGAACCUGAAACCGUGUACGUACAAGCAGUGGGAGCACGCUUCGGCGUGUGACUGCGUACCUUUUGUAUAAUGGGUCAGCGACUUAUAUUCUGUAGCAAGGUUAACCGAAUAGGGGAGCCGAAGGGAAACCGAGUCUUAACUGGGCGUUAAGUUGCAGGGUAUAGACCCGAAACCCGGUGAUCUAGCCAUGGGCAGGUUGAAGGUUGGGUAACACUAACUGGAGGACCGAACCGACUAAUGUUGAAAAAUUAGCGGAUGACUUGUGGCUGGGGGUGAAAGGCCAAUCAAACCGGGAGAUAGCUGGUUCUCCCCGAAAGCUAUUUAGGUAGCGCCUCGUGAAUUCAUCUCCGGGGGUAGAGCACUGUUUCGGCAAGGGGGUCAUCCCGACUUACCAACCCGAUGCAAACUGCGAAUACCGGAGAAUGUUAUCACGGGAGACACACGGCGGGUGCUAACGUCCGUCGUGAAGAGGGAAACAACCCAGACCGCCAGCUAAGGUCCCAAAGUCAUGGUUAAGUGGGAAACGAUGUGGGAAGGCCCAGACAGCCAGGAUGUUGGCUUAGAAGCAGCCAUCAUUUAAAGAAAGCGUAAUAGCUCACUGGUCGAGUCGGCCUGCGCGGAAGAUGUAACGGGGCUAAACCAUGCACCGAAGCUGCGGCAGCGACACUAUGUGUUGUUGGGUAGGGGAGCGUUCUGUAAGCCUGUGAAGGUGUACUGUGAGGUAUGCUGGAGGUAUCAGAAGUGCGAAUGCUGACAUAAGUAACGAUAAAGCGGGUGAAAAGCCCGCUCGCCGGAAGACCAAGGGUUCCUGUCCAACGUUAAUCGGGGCAGGGUGAGUCGACCCCUAAGGCGAGGCCGAAAGGCGUAGUCGAUGGGAAACAGGUUAAUAUUCCUGUACUUGGUGUUACUGCGAAGGGGGGACGGAGAAGGCUAUGUUGGCCGGGCGACGGUUGUCCCGGUUUAAGCGUGUAGGCUGGUUUUCCAGGCAAAUCCGGAAAAUCAAGGCUGAGGCGUGAUGACGAGGCACUACGGUGCUGAAGCAACAAAUGCCCUGCUUCCAGGAAAAGCCUCUAAGCAUCAGGUAACAUCAAAUCGUACCCCAAACCGACACAGGUGGUCAGGUAGAGAAUACCAAGGCGCUUGAGAGAACUCGGGUGAAGGAACUAGGCAAAAUGGUGCCGUAACUUCGGGAGAAGGCACGCUGAUAUGUAGGUGAAGUCCCUUGCGGAUGGAGCUGAAAUCAGUCGAAGAUACCAGCUGGCUGCAACUGUUUAUUAAAAACACAGCACUGUGCAAACACGAAAGUGGACGUAUACGGUGUGACGCCUGCCCGGUGCCGGAAGGUUAAUUGAUGGGGUUAGCGGUAACGCGAAGCUCUUGAUCGAAGCCCCGGUAAACGGCGGCCGUAACUAUAACGGUCCUAAGGUAGCGAAAUUCCUUGUCGGGUAAGUUCCGACCUGCACGAAUGGCGUAAUGAUGGCCAGGCUGUCUCCACCCGAGACUCAGUGAAAUUGAACUCGCUGUGAAGAUGCAGUGUACCCGCGGCAAGACGGAAAGACCCCGUGAACCUUUACUAUAGCUUGACACUGAACAUUGAGCCUUGAUGUGUAGGAUAGGUGGGAGGCUUUGAAGUGUGGACGCCAGUCUGCAUGGAGCCGACCUUGAAAUACCACCCUUUAAUGUUUGAUGUUCUAACGUUGGCCCCUGAUCGGGGUUGCGGACAGUGUCUGGUGGGUAGUUUGACUGGGGCGGUCUCCUCCUAAAGAGUAACGGAGGAGCACGAAGGUUGGCUAAUCCUGGUCGGACAUCAGGAGGUUAGUGCAAUGGCAUAAGCCAGCUUGACUGCGAGCGUGACGGCGCGAGCAGGUGCGAAAGCAGGUCAUAGUGAUCCGGUGGUUCUGAAUGGAAGGGCCAUCGCUCAACGGAUAAAAGGUACUCCGGGGAUAACAGGCUGAUACCGCCCAAGAGUUCAUAUCGACGGCGGUGUUUGGCACCUCGAUGUCGGCUCAUCACAUCCUGGGGCUGAAGUAGGUCCCAAGGGUAUGGCUGUUCGCCAUUUAAAGUGGUACGCGAGCUGGGUUUAGAACGUCGUGAGACAGUUCGGUCCCUAUCUGCCGUGGGCGCUGGAGAACUGAGGGGGGCUGCUCCUAGUACGAGAGGACCGGAGUGGACGCAUCACUGGUGUUCGGGUUGUCAUGCCAAUGGCACUGCCCGGUAGCUAAAUGCGGAAGAGAUAAGUGCUGAAAGCAUCUAAGCACGAAACUUGCCCCGAGAUGAGUUCUCCCUGACUCCUUGAGAGUCCUGAAGGAACGUUGAAGACGACGACGUUGAUAGGGCGGGUGUGUAAGCGCAGCGAUGCGUUGAGCUAACCGGUACUAAUGAACCGUGAGGCUUAACCUUACAACGCCGAAG